AGCGAGAACCAGGGCUUGCCCUGGGGAGAGCGGCGAACGGGUGCGUAUCACGUGAGCAACCUGCCUCAGAGACCGGGAUAACUCGAGGAAACUCGGGCUAAUACCGGAUGCCCUCGGUGGACCGCAUGGUCCGGCGAGGAAAUGGAUUCCGCUCUGAGAUGGGCUCGCGGCCUAUCAGCUUGUUGGUGGGGUAACGGCCUACCAAGGCAACGACGGGUAGCUGGUCUGAGAGGACGAUCAGCCACACUGGGACUGAGACACGGCCCAGACUCCUACGGGAGGCAGCAGUAGGGAAUCUUGCGCAAUGGGCGAAAGCCUGACGCAGCGACGCCGCGUGCGGGAUGAAGGCCUUCGGGUCGUAAACCGCUUUCAGCAGGGACGAAAUUGACGGUACCUGCAGAAGAGGGCCCGGCCAACUACGUGCCAGCAGCCGCGGUGAUACGUAGGGGUCUAGCGUUGUCCGGAAUCAUUGGGCGUAAAGAGCUCGUAGGCGGUUCGAUUAGUCGGGUGUGAAAUCUCCACGCUCAACGUGGAGGGGCCACUCGAUACUGUCGUGACUCGAGUCCGGUAGGGGAGUUCGGAAUUCCCGGUGUAGCGGUGAAAUGCGCAGAUAUCGGGAGGAACACCAGUGGCGAAGGCGGAACUCUGGGCCGGAACUGACGCUGAGGAGCGAAAGCGUGGGGAGCGAACAGGAUUAGAU
rnacentral:rRNA from 1 species